UUUCACCUAUAAAUCAUAUUCAUUAUAUAUAUAUAUAACAAACGUGAUUUUUUCUGUUAGCAUCUUAUUAAAUAGAGAUGGGCGUGUUAAUCUUGCUAUCCGGAAGUGAAUGAAAUGACCGCUGCUGCGAGUUUUCAAGCACACUGGAUGAAGACCUGCGAAAACUUGGAAGCUUCACUGAUCUUUGACAUCAUAUAUAAGAUACUGUAUUCUUGUGGGAGACACAGCUUCAGAGUUUUGGGAACCACAAUUUGCACAGAAAGUAAACUAUGGAGGAGAACUUCUUGGGUCAAAACCAAACAGUAACACAGACUGGAGAGAAAAAUCUGUGAUCAGCUGAGGAAAGAGAUCUCCUGUGAGCAAACAUCUAGCUCUCCAUGUCAAGAG